rnacentral:rRNA from 1 species
AUUGAACGCUGGCGGCAGGCCUAACACAUGCAAGUCGAGCGGAGCGGCGGACGGGUGAGUAAUGCCUAUGAAUCUGCCUGGUCGUGGGGGAUAACGUCCGGAAACGGGCGCUAAUACCGCAUACUAUCAGAUGAGCCUAGGUCGGAUUAGCUAGUUGGGGGGGUAAAGGCCUACCCAGGCGACGAUCCGUAACUGGUCUGAGAGGAUGAUCAGUCACACUGGAACUGAGACACGGUCCAGACUCCUACGGGAGGCAGCAGUGGGGAAUUUUGGACAAGGGGGGCAACCCUGAUGCAGCCAUGCAGCGUGUAUGAAGAAGGCCUUCGGGUUGUAAAGUACUUUCAGCGGGGAGGCGUUACCAACAGAAUAAGCACCGGCUAACUUCGUGCCAGCAGCCGCGGUAAUAC